AAUGUUGGCUCUGAGAUGCUGCAAAAGUUGGCUCUACAAAGUAUCGACUUUGAGAGGGGGGGGUGAAUAGUUAUACACGAUCAAGUUCUGUUUUUUUGUCUUAUUUCUUGUUUGUUUCACAAUAUAUCAUAUUUUGCAUCUUCAAAGUGGUACACAUGUUGUGGAAAUCAAGUGAUGCAAACCCCACAAAAAUCCCAAAAUAGGAAAAAUGCCAAGGGGGUGAAUACUUUCGCAAGCCACUGUAUGUGUUGUUUAAUAGUUUUGAAGUCUUCACUAUUAUUCUACAAUGUAACAAAUAAAGAAAAACCCUUAAAGGAGUAGGUGUGUCCAAACUUUUGAUUGGUACUGUAUGCUAUAUAUUAAUUGUGGUAUAAUCAUGAAGUGAUGUGGCAGAUGUGUGUCAUGAAGUUGAUUUAAGUAUUUAAGCAGGAUUCUUCUAGUUGAAUUCCAUGGUCAGGUAUGAGAUUGCUUUUAUGGCUGCUUGUGUGUCAUGUCAGAGUUUUGCAUAAAAUUAUGAAAUGUUUGAUUUAUUGGAUGAAUGUAUUUCAAUUGAUUGUGAAGAUAGUAUUACCAUUUAAAGGGAGAGGGUAACUAUUGAUGUAUGAAGACCAAUAAGUACUGAGCAAUACACCUCCAGUACGUUGAGAAGUAAACUAGUUGCAAAAUAUUUUUGGAACGGAACAGCUUGCAAGGUUGAUAAUGAUUAAGUUCAGAGUUUUGUACCUAAGGCAUAUAGGCACUGUAUAUACCUUGAAUGUGUUGCAGUGUCCCAUGUCAUGGAUACUGAAAAAUAAGUGUUUGCUUUGUAAGUUGACAAUCAAUAUCGGCUUUGUUGUGCGAUUUUUCAGGGGGGGACAACGACAUUAUGUUACUCGAUUGUUUUUUGUGUGAUUGUUUGAUUGUUUGUUUAUUUGAUUGCUUGGGUAAUCACAAUUGGUGCAGCUCUUAAACGUCUUUGCUCUGUGGAACCUCUGAAUAUGGCAUGUGAUAGGCAUGGCAGUUACAAAUAAUAAUAAAGAACAUACAACUUAAACCCAAAAGUAGCAGUUUGUGUUAUUUCAAUUGAGCUUUGUGUUUUAUCUUUCUUGAUUACAUUUAACAAGCACCUAAAUAGAACUGAUUACAUCAAUUCUGUAAUAGAAUAUUGCUGCAUUGAAAGAUAUGGCAUACAGUACAUAAAUGAAAGCUAGAAUCCUUAAUUGAAACUAUAACAAAGCGGCCACCUCGCCUGUGUUU
rnacentral:lncRNA from 13 species